AAAAGACUUAGUCCUAACCUUACUAUUGGUUCUUGCUAGACAUAUACAUGCAAGUAUCCGCACCCCAGUGAAAAUGCCCUAGCAUCUUUCAACACAAGUAAAAGGAGCGGGUAUCAGGCACACUAAACGUAGCCCAAGACACCUUGCUAAGCCACACCCCCACGGGUAUUCAGCAGUAAUUAACCUUAAGCAAUGAGUGUAAACUUGACUUAGCCAUAGCAAUUCUAGGGCUGGUAAAUCUUGUGCCAGCCACCGCGGUCAUACAAGAAACCCGAAUCAAUAGUCCACACGGCAUAAAGAGUGGCCAUAUGUUAUCUACAUUGACUAAGAUCGAAGCACAACUAAGCUGUCAUAAGCCCAAGAUCUGCCUAAGUCCAACCUAAAAAUCAUCUUAGCCCCAUGACUAAUUUAAACCCACGAAAGCCAGGGCACAAACUGGGAUUAGAUACCCCACUAUGCCUGGCCCUAAAUCUAGAUAUUCAUACACCCAUAUAUCCGCCCGAGAACUACGAGCACAAACGCUUAAAACUNNNNNNNNNNNNNNGUGCCCCAAACCCACCUAGAGGAGCCUGUUCUAUAACCGAUAAUCCACGAUCCACCCAACCACCCCUUGCCAAUACAGCCUACAUACCGCCGUCGCCAGCCCACCUAAAAUGAAAGACCAACAGUGAGCUCAACAGCCCUCGCUAACAAGACAGGUCAAGGUAUAGCCCAUGGGGUGGAAGAAAUGGGCUACAUUUUCUAGCAUAGAACAAACGAAAAAGAGUGUGAAACUCAUCCUUGGAAGGAGGAUUUAGCAGUAAAGUAAGACCAUACAUUUCUAAGCCUACUUUAAGAUGGCCCUGGGACACGUACAUACCGCCCGUCACCCUCUUCACAAGCUACCGACACCAAUAAAUAAUUAACCACCCCCAGGCUAGAGACGAGGUAAGUCGUAACAAGGUAAGCGUACCGGAAGGUGCGCUUAGAUCAC
rnacentral:ncRNA from 1 species